rnacentral:rRNA from 1 species
AACGAACGCUGGCGGCAGGCUUAACACAUGCAAGUCGAACGCCCCGCAAGGGGAGUGGCAGACGGGUGAGUAACGCGUGGGAACGUGCCCUUCGCUUCGGAAUAGCCCCGGGAAACUGGGAGUAAUACCGAAUACGCCGUAUUGGGAAAGAUUUAUCGGCGAAGGAUCGGCCCGCGUUAGAUUAGCUAGUUGGCGGUGUAAUGGACCACCAAGGCUACGAUCUAUAGCUGGUCUGAGAGGAUGAUCAGCCACACUGGGACUGAGACACGGCGCAGACUCCUACGGGAGGCAGCAGUGGGGAAUCUUGGACAAUGGGCGCAAGCCUGAUCCAGCCAUGCCGCGUGAGUGAAGAAGGCCUUAGGGUUGUAAAACUCUUUCGCCGGAGAAGAUAAUGACGGUAUCCGGAGAAGAAGCCCCGGCUAACUUCGUGCCAGCAGCCGCAGUAAAAC